GCCGACGUAGCUCAACGGUAGAGCAGCUGACUUGUAAUCAGCAGGUUGCGGGUUCAAUUCCCAUCGUCGGCUCCA
rnacentral:tRNA from 1 species